rnacentral:rRNA from 1 species
GACGAACGCUGGCGGCAUGCCUAAUACAUGCAAGUCGAGCGAACAGAUGGAGUGCUUGCAUUUCUGACGUUAGCGGCGAACGGGUGAGUAACACGUAAGGAAUCUACCUAUAAGCGGGGGAUAACAUUCGGAAACGGGUGCUAAUACCGCAUAAUAUCUUCUUCCGCAUGGAAGAAGAUUGAAAGACGGCUCUGCUGUCACUUAUAGAUGACCUUGCGGUGCACUAGUUAGUUGGUGGGGUAACGGCCUACCAAGACGAUGAUGCAUAGCCGAACUGAGGAGGUGAUCGGCCACAUUGGGACUGAGACACGGCCCAAACUCCUACGGGAGGCAGCAGUAGGGAAUCUUCCGCAAUGGGCGAAAGCCUGACAGAGCAAUGCCGCGUGAGUGAAGAAGGCCUUCGGGUCGUAAAACUCUGUUAUAAGAGAAGAACAAAUUGUAGAGUAACUGCUACAGUCUUGACGGUAUCUUAUCAGAAAGCCACGGCUAACUACGUGCCAGCCGCCGCCGUAA